rnacentral:rRNA from 1 species
GACGAACGCUGGCGGCGUGCUUAACACAUGCAAGUCGAGCGGUAAGGCCCCUUCGGGGGUACACGAGCGGCGAACGGGUGCGUAACACGUGAGCAAUCUGCCCAUCACAUCGGGAUAACUCCGGGAAACCGAAGCUAAUACCGAAUACGACCACCUCCGGCAUCGGAUGGUGGUGGAAAGUUCCGGCGGUGAUGGAUGAGCUCGCGGCCUAUCAGCUUGUUGGUGGGGUAACGGCCCACCAAGGCUUCGACGGGUAGCCGGCCUGAGAGGGUGACCGGCCACACUGGGACUGAGACACGGCCCAGACUCCUACGGGAGGCAGCAGUGGGGAAUAUUGGACAAUGGGCGAAAGCCUGAUCCAGCAACGCCGCGUGAGGGAUGACGGCCUUCGGGUUGUAAACCUCUUUCAGCAGGGACGAAGCGCAAGUGACGGUACCUGCAGAAGAAGCACCGGCCAACUACAUG